rnacentral:sRNA from 1 species
GGAGCGGUCCGGGAGGCGGACCCGGCUCCUGCCAGGGUUGGGUGCGCCGCUGAACGGAUGGCUGAGGGAGCCCCGCGGAUCGUUUAGAAAAGCCGGCCAGCUGAUCGUCCUGUGUUGCCACCCAUUCAUGUCAAGAUGACUAAGUUUGGAUUUUUGCGAUUGUCCUAUGAGAAGCAGGACACACUUCUGAAGCUUCUCAUUCUGUCAAUGGCUGCUGUAUUAUCCUUCUCCACUCGUCUGUUUGCUGUCCUGAGAUUUGAAAGUGUUAUCCAUGAGUUUGAUCCGUACUUUAAUUAUCGGACUACCAGGUUCCUGGCUGAGGAGGGGUUUUAUAAAUUCCAUAACUGGUUUGAUGACCGAGCCUGGUACCCUUUGGGACGAAUCAUUGGAGGAACAAUUUACCCAGGUUUAAUGAUCACCUCUGCUGCAAUCUACCAUGUACUCCAUUUUUUCCACAUCACCAUCGACAUUCGGAAUGUCUGUGUGUUCCUGGCCCCUCUCUUCUCCUCCUUCACCACCAUCGUCACGUACCACCUUACCAAAGAGCUCAAGGAUGCAGGGGCUGGGCUUCUUGCUGCUGCCAUGAUUGCUGUAGUUCCUGGAUAUAUCUCCCGAUCUGUGGCUGGCUCCUAUGAUAAUGAAGGGAUUGCCAUCUUUUGCAUGCUACUCACCUACUACAUGUGGAUCAAGGCAGUAAAGACUGGUUCCAUCUGUUGGGCAGCUAAGUGUGCCCUUGCUUAUUUCUACAUGGUCUCGUCAUGGGGAGGUUAUGUGUUCCUGAUCAACUUAAUUCCUCUCCACGUCCUGGUGCUGAUGCUCACAGGCCGUUUCUCUCACCGGAUCUAUGUGGCCUACUGUACUGUUUACUGCCUGGGCACUAUACUUUCUAUGCAGAUCUCCUUUGUGGGUUUCCAGCCUGUCCUUUCAUCAGAGCACAUGGCAGCCUUUGGGGUCUUUGGUCUCUGCCAGAUCCAUGCCUUUGUGGAUUACCUGCGAAGCAAGUUGAAUCCACAACAAUUUGAAGUUCUUUUCCGGAGCGUCAUCUCUCUGGUAGGCUUUGUCCUUCUCACCGUGGGAGCUCUCCUCAUGCUGACAGGAAAAAUAUCUCCCUGGACGGGGCGUUUCUACUCACUGCUGGAUCCUUCUUAUGCUAAGAACAACAUCCCCAUCAUUGCUUCUGUGUCUGAGCAUCAGCCCACAACCUGGUCCUCAUACUAUUUUGACCUGCAGCUCCUCGUCUUCAUGUUUCCAGGUAUGUGGACUUGUGUUCUGAAAUGGCCUUGUUCAUAAGAAUCACAAUUUGAUUCCAAAUUUGCAAGCUACCCUCAUUCGUGUUUUGUUUUUCUUUGCCUGUUUAUGUUGUGUAAUACAGAGGACGGCUAAGCAAAUUUUCUCAUGUAUGAAGCUGAGCAGAAGUCAGAAGUUCAACAGUUGUAGAUAUUGGCAAGUUCAGCCUCACAGUUUUCUGUUCAUUUGUCAUUUGUGUUAUAAGUUAAAAUUUAACCGUAAUUUUUACUCCAGUUUUGUUUUGUUUUGUUUGAGUACUUCUGUCGUACUCCUU